CCUACGGGUGGCAGCAGUGAGGAAUAUUGGUCAAUGGGCUUACGCCUGAACCAGCCAAGUCGCGUGAGGGAAGACUGCCCUAUGGGUUGUAAACCUCUUUUGUCAGGGAGCAACGCCGGCUACGUGUAGCCGGACUGAGAGUACCUGAAGAAAAAGCAUCGGCUAACUCCGUGCCAGCAGCCGCGGUAAUACGGAGGAUGCGAGCGUUAUCCGGAUUUAUUGGGUUUAAAGGGUGCGUAGGCUGUGAGGUAAGUCAGCGGUGAAAUGCCCCCGCUCAACGGGGUGAAGUGCCAUUGAUACUGCCUUGCUGGAAUGCGGAUGCCGUGGGAGGAAUGUGUGGUGUAGCGGUGAAAUGCAUAGAUAUCACGAAGAACUCCGAUUGCGAAGGCAGCAUACCGGCGCCCAACUGACGCUGAAGCACGAAAGCGUGGGUAUCGAACAGGAUUAGAUACCCGGGUAGUC
rnacentral:rRNA from 1 species